GCGACCCCAGGUCAAGCGGGGCUA
rnacentral:rRNA from 1 species